GGGGGGUUAAAGGGCGGCGUAUAAUGCAAGUCGAGCGAACUGAUUAGAAGCUUGCUUCUAUGACGUUAGCGGCGGACGGGUGAGUAACACGUGGGCAACCUGCCUGUAAGACUGGGAUAACUCCGGGAAACCGGAGCUAAUACCGGAUAACAUUUUUUCUUGCAUAAGAGAAAAUUGAAAGAUGGUUUCGGCUAUCACUUACAGAUGGGCCCGCGGUGCAUUAGCUAGUUGGUGAGGUAACGGCUCACCAAGGCAACGAUGCAUAGCCGACCUGAGAGGGUGAUCGGCCACACUGGGACUGAGACACGGCCCAGACUCCUACGGGAGGCAGCAGUAGGGAAUCUUCCGCAAUGGACGAAAGUCUGACGGAGCAACGCCGCGUGAGUGAUGAAGGCUUUCGGGUCGUAAAACUCUGUUGUUAGGGAAGAACAAGUACAAGAGUAACUGCUUGUACCUUGACGGUACCUAACCAGAAAGCCACGGCUAACUACGUGCCAGCAGCCGCGGUAAUACGUAGGUGGCAAGCGUUAUCCGGAAUUAUUGGGCGUAAAGCGCGCGCAGGCGGUUUCUUAAGUCUGAUGUGAAAGCCCACGGCUCAACCGUGGAGGGUCAUUGGAAACUGGGGAACUUGAGUGCAGAAGAGAAAAGCGGAAUUCCACGUGUAGCGGUGAAAUGCGUAGAGAUGUGGAGGAACACCAGUGGCGAAGGCGGCUUUUUGGUCUGUAACUGACGCUGAGGCGCGAAAGCGUGGGGAGCAAACAGGGAUUAGAUACCCUGGUAGUCCACGCCGUAAACGAUGAGUGCUAAGUGUUAGAGGGUUUCCGCCCCUUUAGUGCUGCAGCUAACGCAUUAAGCACUCCGCCUGGGGGAGUACGGUCGCAAGACUGAAACUCAAGGAAUUGACGGGGGCCCGCACAAGCGGUGGAGCAUGUGGUUUAAUUCGAGCAACGCGAAGAACCUUACCAGGUCUUGACAUCCUCUGACAAUCUAAAG
rnacentral:rRNA from 2 species